CCUACGGGUGGCAGCAGUGGGGAAUUUUGGACAAUGGGCGCAAGCCUGAUCCAGCUAUUCCGCGUGUGGGAUGAAGGCCCUCGGGUUGUAAACCACUUUUGUAGAGAACGAAAAGACACCUUCGAAUAAAGGGCGUUGCUGACGGUACUCUAAGAAUAAGCACCGGCUAACUACGUGCCAGCCGCCGCGGUAGUACGUAGGGUGCGAGCGUUAAUCGGAUUUACUGGGGGUAAAGGGUGCGCAGGCGGGUGAGUAAGACAGAUGUGAAAUCCCCGGGCUUAACUCGGGAAUGGCAUAUGUGACUGGCCGACUAGAGUGUGGCAGAGGGAGGUGGAAUUCCAGGUGUAGCAGUGAAAUGCGUAGAUAUGUGGAAGAACACCGAUUGCGAAGGCAGCCUCCUGGGACAUAACUGACGCUGAGGCACGAAAGCGUGGGGAGCAAACAGGAUUAGAUACCCUAGUAGUC
rnacentral:rRNA from 1 species